UUGAUUCAUAGUUGUAAUCUGACCAUAGAUACCCUCUACUCUGGGUGGUUACCUUAGGUCCACUUUGUUUUAACAAGUUCCAGCUUGUGGUGUGCUUACUCAUAGGGUUCCAGGGCUGGGCCCAGACGAAAUCACAGACAUGAGAUCAUCUACUAGCUCUCUGUAGCUACACUCCCCCCAAUCACCCAAUCGGCCAAUGUUCCUUGCAAGCUGAGGAGGAAGAAGCUGAUAUUGGGCAACUCGCAGCCAGUGGAAAAGAUAAUCGAAUCUCUGUGAUCAAACUACAAAAGUGGCCAAACAGGGUGGAGUGGAUUGCUCUUUGACCUGGAGGGGAGCAGGGUGUGAAGCGCCGCAAGAGUAUUUAAAGAGACUACACCAAAAUGAGCUGCUCUCAGAUGCACCUCAAAAGAGGGGCAAAACACAAUGCGUGGCAGAACACUAACAUAAAACAUGGUGGUGGCGGUAUCGUUGUGUGAGGAUGCUUUUCUGCUGCUGGGAUGGGGAAGCUGGUCCGAGUUAGAAGGAAGAUGGAUGGAAAUAAAUACAGGACAAUCCUAAAGGAAAACCUGUUUCAGGCUGCAAUAAACUGCAAUGGACUGAGGCAAAGGUUUACCUUCAAGCAGGAAAACAACCCUAAACAUAUUCAUGCGUUAGAAUGUUUUAAUGGUAUGACUAUUCUUACUGAGAUGCACCUGUACAAAGUCCACAACAUGGCAUGCUUGCUUAUCGUUUCAUUUUGAGGACUGUGUAAGAGAUACAAUAUUUGGCAAAAAAGAAACAUUGUUUCACACUGAAUAUUAUCCCCUCCGUAAAACAUGGCCAUGGCAGAAUAAUACUUUGGGGACGGUUUUUUAGAAACAGUAUUGAUGGAUGGAGAUAAAUACAGGGCAAUCCUCAAAAAGAAAAUGUUAGAAGCUCCAAAAGUUGUAAAACUGGGGAGGAGAUUCCCUCCUAGCACAACACUGACUUCAGCAUGUAGCUAGAGCUACAGUGCGAUGGUUUUGAUCAAAGUACAUUGAUAAUCGAAGUCCAGACUUAAAUCCAAUUAAGAAUCUGUGGCAAGACUUGAAAAUUGCUGUUACUAAGCACUCCUGAUCAAGUUUGACUGAGUUUCAGCUGUUUUGCAAAGAAUGGUUUAAAAAUUCUUAAUCUGUAAAUGUGCAAAGCUGAUCAAGAGAUACCCUGAAAGACAUGCAGCUGUAAUUGUAUCGAAAGUGGUUUUAUGAAGUAUUGACACAGAAGGACUAAAUGCAAAUGCACUCAACGUUUUUUAAAUUGGUAAUUGUAAAAAGCAUUUGAGAAACAUUUUUUCUUACAUUUCACUGUUAUGCAUGACUUUGUAUUGGCCUUUCACAUAAAAUCACAAUUAGAUACUUUGAAGUUCAUAUUUGCAACAUUAAACAGUUUAAGAUAUAUUAAAAUAUUUUCAAGGCACUGUAUGUGAAAUAAGAUGAAUCAUAAAGAAAAAAACUGAAAUCUUCAGACGUUUUUGUAAACGAAAUCCUCUCUGCCUGUCAUUGUUUUGUAGUUGAUAGCUCUGGUUGAAUAAGAGGAUA